AUUAAAGCGAUACCAGUACACCAAGAUAAAAGUGAGGAGCUUUUGGAUACUCUUCCAAGUCGAGGACCGGAGGCGUUUGGUUUUUUCUGGAAUUUCUCAAUAAAAAUCAAUCAUUUUUGGGUGAUUUAUUGAAAUCUUACAAAGGUUCAACAGGUACAAAGCAACCAGUUGAUAAUGUAGAUGCUCCAUCGCGUAAUCUCGAUGAUGAAAAGUCUCCUGAAGAAACUGACGAAGAGUUAAAACAUGAGAACUCCCCAAACACUAUUGGUAAAACCACCAGUAUCUGUACACAAGAAGAUGGGAAAUGGUUUAAAUGGCGGCUUCCUAAACCGAAUGAAGAAGUUAAUCCAAAGUCCCACGAAAACAACGAAGAUGACAAAAAAAGAAUUUGAUAUCUGAAUACUUUUCCAGUCAUAAAGAUGUUAUUGCAAGGGAUUAUAUGUACUCAAUGACACACAGUCCACGUGGCAUAGCAUUCAUCAUCAACAAUAAAAAUUUCUUAAAGGAAUCAGGAAUGCAAAAA